rnacentral:lncRNA from 1 species
AGGCAGUUUUGUUCAUUUAUGUAAAUACACAAUUAUAAUGAACAUAUUAACAAACGUAAAACAACAAAACAAGUAUAAAUAUCUCUAAGCAUUAUGCAACGUUAUACAGUUUGUAUGAUAACUGUGGAGAAAAUACAAUCAUUAGCAGAGAAUUAAUUUCUGGUAAUUUUACAAAUAAGAGGGGAUUGUGAGGUAAAUAUUUGAGACGUACAGCACCCCAAAAAUUCAACACAAACCAAAUAAAAAGCAAUCAGAGGUCAACAUAAGGUGCCAGUCUUCACAAAAUGUUUUCAGAUGUUCAAAUAUUUUAAUUAAAAAUAAAUCUAUCAAUUACAGUAAUAUGGCUAAUGAGGCAUCUGAUCCAAUACUAAUUACUGGCUGUCAAGCUUUUGAUUAAUUGUGAAGACUAGAGUUUAAUCCUAUAAUCCAAAACAAUUGAAACUACUGAUGAAAUACUCCUUGAUAAAAGAAAAAACAUCAAGAAACCAGGACAACCAAUUGCUGAGUUCCAGAAUUUCAUUUAAACCAAACAAAUAAUCCGGUAAUUUUCCCCUCUUAUCUUAAAUAUGCAAAUCUGAAAAAAAGCCUCCAAAAUGCAAGCAGACCUCAACUUUCUUUCAUUAAUUGCAAAAUACCAAUGAAUAAAUUAAUGUCAAUAAAACAACAAUUCAUAAAAUGAGGUUGUAAUUUACAAGUAACUUUUAAAAAUAAACAAAAUAAUUAUGGAGAAGAACUAUUAUCUUAAAAUGUUUUUUUCACUUCUUAUAUAGUCUAUAAGACCCAAGAUGAACAUGACAGAAUUUUAAACUGUUUUUCCCCAAUUCUGAGUCUUCAGUGGACUCUGAGGUUAAAUGUCUGUCAUGCAUGCAUAUGGAAUGAGUAACAAAAGAGGCUGUAAAUUGGUGGUAUGAAUUGUUGUAUUAAAAAAAAUGGUUUUUAAAAAAACAAAUUUUAUAUUGAGAUCAUUUUGCUUGUACCAAGUCAGGAAUAUGACAAUUGUUAUCCAUUUGUUUGAUGUGUUUGAGCUUUUGAUUUUGCCAUUUAAUAAGAGACUUUGCAUUUUGAAUUUUCCACAGGGCUCAGUGUUUUUGUUAUUCUACUUUUUACUCUCAAUCAGAAGGCAUACAGUCUGUCCUGUCAAACUAACAUAUUACCAUAUAAGCAAACAUUCAUCAUCAAAUAAACCACAAGGAUAUCUUCAUCAGUUCAGUCAAUCUACUUUAAAGGUUGACUUAUAUUAAUUAAACUUUCAUAACCAAGUAAAAUAAAGUUUUCCACAAUUUUGAUGAUUACUGAGUCAAACCAUGGAUUUAGAAACAUGUGAACAAAUUUUAUCCAUUUAUUUCUAAUUAUUGGUUUGGACUAAUAAAGUAGUUCUCCACAAGAUUAUUUAUCUGUAAAGGUCACACUUGGUUCAAUGUAUAUAUAAAAAGUUUUCUACAAGCAGGAAUGUUAUUUUAAUUUUUAACACUCCUAAAACAUUCCCCAAAAGGAUGUCAUCACUGGUUUGAACAAGUUAAGUGGUUCUAUUUCCAUCCAUCAGAGACAAGGUUGGUAUAUUGGAUAUCUUAGUUGCAUUUGAUCAUGAAAGUAAUGAAAAUCUAUACCAAAUUUGGCUUUAAUCCAUUUAGUUCCCUUAAAGAAAGUUCAUGGAUACCAAGAGAUGGUAAAACCUCAUAUGACCCUUUAAAGCUUCCACUGAAAUGAUAUAAUUUAUUACACAGUAAUGCAAAAACUGCUCUGAAGAAUUUGACACCACCAGCUAAAACAAAUGAUUGAAGUUCUAUACAUCUAUAAACCAUUAUUAAUAAAAAUAAAAAAACACUGGGACAAAAUUUGAUCAAUUCAGCCCAUGACAGGAAAAAAAUCCCAUACAUAGUUGACCCCUAAAUUAAGCUAAAUGGAAGUGUUUGUCAAGUGAGGUCAACAAUAGAAAAUAGCAAGGAAAUCUGAAUUGUACAAAUGUUGUCUACUUUUAUCUAUAGAGACGACAAAUCUUGUGCUAAAAACUUUGUUCUACAAUAGCCCUUGUCCUUUACUGAAAUAAAAUAAUAACCAGAUGCUCCACAGGGCACAGCUUUAUACGACCGCAGAGUUCAAACUCUGAACAGUUGGAGCAAGUAUGGACACAACAUGCAAGCUGAUACAGCUCUGAAUUUGGAUUGGGUUAAAUAGUUUGAACACAGGUUUCUGACACAUAAUGAAUGUGGUAUAAGAACUAAA